UUUGCAUUAUCAACUGGGGACUCCUGGAAAUGGGGGUGUCUCCAAGAGAUAUAUUUGAUACACGUCCAGAGAAUUCCUGAAGGAAAGAAUCUGGGGUUGUCAGGCUGAUAUCAUGAACCCCACAUUUAACACAUUAAGUGAAGAGAGGGGACAAAGGCCAGGCUUGGGAAGGAAGGAGGGAUCAACAAAGCCCUUACCCAGGACAGAUAAAAAUGAUAGAAUGGCAGUAACCCCAUUUGGAGCCCCCAUUUGUAGUCAGCAAGCAAAGUACUGGUCCUUUUUACACCUUAUCUAACCAUCGAGACACGCCCCUGUGGUUGGUAUCAUUAUCUCAGUGUUUGAGCAGGGAAACGUCACUUCCCAGAGGACCCACAGCCAGUACUCGGCAGAGCUGGAAAUCAAACCCGGUCCAUCCAAAGCUAAAGCCAGAUGUCUCUUUACUGGACCUCUCUGGAAAUGCUUCUCAACUUUGAUGAUGGCUCCAGUGACAGGCAGCAGCCACCAGGACUGUGAUCUCCCUGGGAUUUAAAGUGGGAGGUUAAACCAGGCUCCACGCCACUGCGGAAUUGUGCAAUUGUAAGUCAAGUCUCAAUUGUGAGCCAAGCUUCUCCCAGGGUCAGAGGUGGAGUUAGAAAGGCCCCAUGUGACCCUGAGCAAGUCUCUCUCCUUCCCUGGUCCUCAGUUUCCCCAUCUCUAUUGGGGAAGGGUUAGGUAUCUAUUCUAGUUGAUUAAUUGCCAGGGCCUGAGCUCUGAUGGUCCAGGAUUCUGUAAGUCUAACGUUAGGUCCCACGGCUUGCCCUGCUCAGCACCUAAUAAGGCCAUUAGCUCUGGCUCCUUCUCUCUGGGGUGGCAGCAGGGACAGAAAACAACAGAGAUACAUUCUCUUGGCAGCACAGAACUCAGCUCAAGGGUUCUGGGGAUGGGGCCUUCCCUCCUGCCAGGGAGGCCAUCUCGAGAGGCUGACUGCUCACACCUGGGCAGCACUCUGUCUCCUCCCCUCCUGCCUGGGUCCCAGCUCUGUUCACCACCCCAAAGCACAUCACCACAAGGUCAGUUGCAAAGGCCCGGUAUCACAGGCUUAAAUACAGAGGGCUAGGAGGGAGGUGGGAGGUGGGAGAGGAAGGUGGAGUACUAACAAAGGUGUUGAAUUAUCACUGCCCAUCAGGACACGGUUAUUUCCCCUUACUCUGGGACACCAAAGAUUCUACACAAUCUUCCUAUAAUCCUGAACCACAAAAGGGAGGCACAGCCUCCAAAAAAAAGUAGGAGAGGGGAGGGGGGAAGUACUUUUAUUUUGAAAUGUGUUCAUUUUUCUUUGUUUUAUUUUCUAUCUUGAUGAAAAGAAUAUAUUUUUAAACCU
rnacentral:lncRNA from 10 species